ACUCACUUUUUCUUGCUUUACUUGAUUUACCACCACCAAGUCAAGUUUUUUAAACUGGCUGAGUCAGGAAAUGUGUCUCUAAAGGAGCCAUUUGGAUUUCACCCGUACUGUUACAUAACAGUAUACUGAAUACUCCCACCCUCAGGCUGGAUAUCUCCUCCCAUAUUACGCUGGCUACCUGAAGAAGGAUUCGCCAUUUUAUUGCUUCACAACUGUGUACAAGCCGAAAGCCAAAACUUUAUGUGCAGUCAAGCAAUCAUUACUUUGCUUUGGAGCCGGAGACAGGGGUUACCUGUCUGCUGUGCUACGAUUAACGUUAGUUAUAUGAAGGCAUGGACACAGAAAAUGGACACAAUAUGUAUUGCUCGCUUACUAAAUCUAAUGUGAAAUGAGGGAUUUGCAUGGGUUUGCUCGGAUUAUGAUUUGCCACAAUUUGCCUUAUCAGAUUGAUUGUUUUAAUCAUCAUUUCUGUCUACAUAGCUUUGUUUCAUAAAACAUGAGAAACAGACACAUAACAUAUUCCUUCCUUUUGUGUUUAGCCAAGCACAUCUGUACAGCAGUCUGUAGUGCAUCACGUUGCCUGCCAGACUGACCAACCAGUGAAAUGCACUGUUGGCACCCAGCUUUCCAUGAGAACUCUCCGGCCUCACUUCAGAAGCACAGACUCUACCUGGCUGCCCGGCAUUACAAUGAAAAUACUGACUGACCACAGGCAACAUCUACAGGUGGUGAGCUUCUGUACAGUCAACUUCCCCAAAUCUAAGCAUGGAGAAUGAAUUGCAAAGCCUGUGAAAGCAGAGCCAACAUUCCACUACGUUGAUGCACUGUUGGACCUGAUCUUCGAGAAGGUUUUCCAGGACCCUGGCCCAUAUGUGAACGAGGUGCUGAAACUUACAAUCCCUGAAGACCUCUCGGCUCAGUGUGAAAGACCUAACAAGCU